rnacentral:misc_RNA from 1 species
UGUGGUGGAGGCAGGGCAGUGUGGCGGAGGCUGGAGGGGCGUGGCUGGCCAGGCUGCAUCACUGGCCUGUGUGUGUCAGGCCACGCCACUGUACAGACGCCGGCGAGGGCUGCGGCGGUGGCGUCGUCAGUAGGGUGGCAGGCGCGGCGCCGCUGCCACCUCGCCUCGCCUCGCCAGCUGCGUAGUGACUGGCGGGCGGCAGGCGUGUGGCGGGGCGUGCGCCGCCUGCUGCACUGCCGCGGCCAGGCCGGCAAUAAUGUCAGUGGCCAGCCAGCAGGGUCCGGCAGCCCCGACAGUGGCAGCAGCAGCGGCAGCCUCGGCGGGGCCUGGCGGGGCGGCCACAGGGGCGGUGCGCGGGGCGCGCGGCAGCUGUCAGGGGUUUGAACGCGGCGGGGCAUGCCGGGAGCGUGACGUCAGCGGUGCACGCGCGUGCGCAGUUCAGUGUGCUGGCGAGGCUGGGACCAUUAAGAUGGCGGCCAGUAACAGCCUGGACGAGGUGUUGUGUGCAGACGUUGAUCCGAGUGCCGUCGCCGCCAUUGUCGGGCCCCUGGACACCCCGCGGGCCGCCGCAGCCAAAACCGCGGCGCACCAACCACUGAACGGCAGUGCCAAUGGCGGUAUAAGUAACAAUGCCGCGGUGCUAGUGGAAGGCAGAACAAACUGCGGUAAAAUAGGGGUCAGAGGCCCGGCGGUGAGCGGGGGGAAGGUGGUGGUGUCUGGCGUGGGCGCCGUGCAGGCUGGUGGCGGCCAGGGCGCGGGGGCCGCGGGGGGGCUGCAGGGGGGAGCCGCCCUGCAGGCGGGCGGCGAGCAGCAGCAGCAGCAGGCAGGCAGCAGCAAGGGCGCCGCGGGCGGCAGGCCGGUCUAUGGGGUGGUCCCCACGCCCAUGACAGGCGCCCAAGGCACGCAGGUGGUGAACGGGGGCGUGAGCGGGACGGGCACAGGCGCGGCGCCCCAGGGGAGCCUGCAGAGCCAGCUGGCCCUGAAGGGGCUUACCAAGGUGGUGACGGCGGCGGGGCAAGCGGCGGUGAUCAUGUCCAAGCCCGGCACCGUGACCGCCGUGGCGUCCAGCGGGCAGGCGGGGGCGGUGCCCCUACCGCAGAGCAUGCAGAUUCUCAACAUGCGGCCCGGCCAGACCAUCAAGACCACGCAGGGCACCACCAUCACGCCGCGCAUGAUCCUAAACCAGGCGCAGGUCCUGCCCGCCGGCAUCAGGCCUGGCCAGCCCGGGCAAAUCACGCUAGGGCCUCUGCAGGGUCUUCCUCCAGGGGCACAGGGUCACUUACUGGUGAAGACAGAGAACGGACAGCUGCAGUUAUUGAGGGUAAACACAGCGACUGCCACUCCUGGUCCCCUCCCGGCAGCCGUCACCACCACCACCACCCUGCAGCAGCCCGCCAAUGCAGCGUACCGUUUCCAGGCCCCUCAAACUGGUUCGGUGGCAGUCCGGUCGGUAAUGGCGACGUCUGCUGGUGCUCGGUCCACAGCCAUUCUACUCCAGUCACAACCCAGUAACACCGUGGCACUGACCUCCUCCAACACCACCACCACCUCCAUAGCCACGCAAGCAGUGCCCACCAUCACUGCCCCCACCACUGUUGCCGUCACCCCGGGCACCACAGUAGCGGGCACCACCGUUGUGCCCACCCAGCCCACCUCCGCAGCACCCACCCCCACCACACAGCAGUCGCAAGCCACGUCCGUUGGCUCUCAAACCAUAUCGGCUGAAUCUGCAAAAACGAAAUGCAAAAACUUUCUGGCGACGCUGCUCAAGUUGGCCAGCGAGCAGCGUGCGCCGGUGGCCAGGAACGUUCGCACUCUGAUCCAGGGCUUGAUAGAUGGCAGGGUGGAGCCCGAGGCGUUCACAGAGGAGCUGCAGAAGGACCUCAACUCUUCCCCUCAGCCAUGUCUCGUACCCUUCCUCAAGAAAACCUUGCCGUACCUGCGACUGUCCCUGGCAAAGCAUGAGCUGACCAUAGAGGGAGUGCGGCCGCCGCCUUUCACCGCCGUCAGUCCUGUCUCCGGCGUCACCACUGUCAUACCUGCUAUGUCCAUGGCUCGUCCAGUGGCCCCUACCACCUCUGGCACAGUCAGAAUGGUUGCCCCUACUGCUGUUGCCUCUGUGUCCACCGCCACUGUGGUGCAGCGGCCAGCCGGCACCACCACUGCCACCUCUGCUGUCGCCGCUGCCGCCACACCCUCCAGAGUAGUGGCUCCGGUGCGCAUGCAGGGCGGAAAGACAGUGGUGGCCGCGGUCCGCCACAACACUCCUGCCGUUGUCGUUGCCGCCACCUCCACCACCACCACCGCCACAGCCACGGCCUCUGCCACCCCCACCGCCACGCCCUCCGCCGCUGCCCCCACGGCUGCCACGCUGCCAGCCGCUGCCAAGGCCGUCACCAUCAACAAGGCAUUGCCCACCAAAGACAAGGACAAGGGCAAGGAUAAAGUUUUCACCUACAGCAGUUCCUAUUCUUCUAGCGGCGCGGCGGAUGACGAUAUCAACGAUGUGGCGGCGAUGGGUGGCGUCAACCUGGGGGAGGAGUCACAGCGCAUCCUGGACUCCACCGGCUUUGUGGGGACGCAGAUCCGCUCCUGCAAGGACGAGAACUUCCUCUUCAGUGCCCCUCUCACACAGCGGAUAAGACAGAUAUGUUCAAAGUACGGCCUUGAUGACGCCCCUAAGGAUGUGGUGGCGCUGGUCUCGCACGCCACACAGGAGAGACUCAAGACCAUCGUGGAGAAGCUGGCAGUCAUCGCAGACCACAGAUUAGAGAUUAUUAAGCAAUGUGACGCCCGGUACGAGGUGAAGCAGGAUGUCAAGGCACAGCUGCGUUUCCUGGAAGAACUCGACAAGCUGGAGAAGAAACGCAAGGACGAGCAAGAGAGAGAGAUGCUCCUGCGCGCCGCCAAGUCCCGUAGCAAAUCAGAAGACCCCGAGCAGGCCAAGCUGAAGGCAAAGGCGAAGGAGAUGCAGCGUGUGGAGAUGGAGGAGAUGAGACAGAGAGACGCAAAUCGCACCGCCCUCAACGCACUUCAGGGACCCAAGAAGAAACCCAAGCUAGAUCUCAGUGUGGCGGACGAGGGUGGAACAUUUAGUGGAACUUUCACCCAGAAGUCGAUGCCGCUGCGGCCGCGGAUCAAGAGGGUCAACAUGCGGGACCUCAUGUUCUUGAUGGAGCAGGAGAAGGAGCUGAACAAGUCACCGCUGCUUUACCGCUCUUACCUCAAGUAGCCGGCCGGGGGGCUGCCGGGUGACGCUGCCUCUCCCCCCGCUGCGGGGGGAGUGCCGGGCCAUGCUGCCCCUCCUCUCUCGUGGGUGAGUGCCAGGUGAAACUGCCUCUCCUCUCUGCAGUGCCGCGGAGUGGCCCGCCGGCCAGCGCUGGCGGGGUGGAAGAUCUGUGAUUCUCUCAUGCAGCAUGUCAAGUGUCUUAUCACCGCGUGGCCUCGGGGCCGAGACCGCUCCGGGGACUGUGAUGGGCCGGCCGCCCGGCCACCCGCCGAACAUUGCCUCAGGCCCGGCCGGCACCAGUGGACGUGCGAACAGUGGCUUACACACCAGAGAAGACUGCUCCUUUGCCGUGCCGCCUGUGUCUGCCGGCGCAAGGCUCGCCGGCCGCCCGGCCGCAGCACAACACCUUCCACCAGUGGCCGGGCGGCGCCGCGGUGCCCUGCAGUGUGCGGCGCCCAGUCCUGCAGUGAGGCGCUGCCGGCGCCGGCCCUCGCUGCCCCGGUGUGUCGUGCAGCACACACAGGUGGCUGCCCAUGACACCUUCUGCCGCCCUGGGCCACCCUGCCCUGCUGCUGCUCGUGCCGCCCAUCCCCAGGGUGUGGUGCUGCGGGCGCCCGGCACUGUGCCGCCAACACACCCCGGCACACACUGGCCUUCCUGCUUCACCAAAACACAAAACGUGAGAGAAAAGUGACGCGCUGCAGCUUUCACUCCUUCCAUUCUUGCUUCCCUGGUCUGCCCUGCGGUGGCGGCGGCCGGCUGCUGGACGUGUGUAUCUGUGGUGCCGGGACAUGGCGGUGGUGCGGUGGCACGAGGGUGCAGGGCAGUGGUGGUGGCGGGGACGUGCUGAAACAGGUACAACAAUGAAGACCAAUUGUAGCUAAGCAUUUUGUACUGUGUCAAGGAUGCUGUGCCUCUGUAAUGUGUUUUUGUAAUUAUAUGUUGUUAUACAGUUUUGGUUGCUUUUAUCUUGUGGUAACCAGAGGGGAGUGUCCAGGCGGCUCCAUGUCAGAUGGACAGACAGACAGAUAGGACAGGAGGGGAGGGGAGGGAGGGGGACAAGUCAUGGUGGAGGAAGCCAGUCGCUGGUUUGAGUUCUGACAAUCCUUGUGUUUCCCUGAUUGUUUUCUCUUCCCGAUAGUGACGCUGCACAGUGGGAGGCAGCGCGGCCCAUGCACCGUGUCCUGGGGUCUGUUUAUUUCCACACACUCAUCACCAUAGUCACCGUAACUCAGUUCCUAGAGUGGCGAGAGGAGGAGGAGAAGCAGGAAGACAUAGACAGUUUGGGCCGCAGCACAAACAAAAACAGGAACACACACAGCACUGCUAUCACUGUCAGUCCACCGAGUGAAUGCCGGGGACACAGGGACACCCAAACCACUCUGUCUUACCCUGAGGGACUUUUAGGGCCUGUUCAGCAGUGUGUGGCAAAGCUGGGGAGACAGAAAGACCAGGGACAAGGAAUGGGGAAGCUUGUGUAUUGAAGGGCUGUUGGCAAGGGAAGGAAGUUAUAUAGAGCUGGUUUGAGGUCAAUGUAUCCUUCAAAAAUAGUGUGUUAAGAGGAAGAAUGUGAUAAAUAUGCAGAACUAAGAGAAUGAAUGUUAAUUAUGCUGUUUGUGGGAAAGAUGGUAGAAAGAAGUGAAAGAAAAGAGUGCUGUUUGAAGUUCAACAUUUUCAGUAUUGCUGUGUUUAGGAAGGAACGUAAAGAGAGACAGGAAUGAGUUGUGUGAAUGCUGCUAAGAUGCUGUUUUUGGUGAAAACUGCAAGAAAGAAGUGAAGAAAAGUGCUGUUUUAAGUUCAACAUCUUUCAGUAUUGCUGUGUUUAGGAAGGAAUAUGACAGAGACAAGAGUGACAGAAUUAAUGCUGCUAAGUGUGCUGUUUUGGGGAAAGAUAAUAGAAAGAAGUGAAGGAAAGAGAUGUUUUAAGUUCAAUAUCUUUCAGUAUUGCUGCAUUUAGGAAGCAAAAUAACAAAGAGAGACAGGAAUGAGUGUAUGAAUGCUGCUAAUGUGCUGUUUUGGGGAACGAUGCUAGAAAGAAGUGAAGAAAAGAGUGUUGUUUUAAUUCAAUAUCUUGUAAAGUAAUGCUGGGUUUAGGUGUGAAUAUAACAAGGACAUGAAUAAGUAAAUGAAUACUGUCUUGAAAGGAUGCUAGAAAGAAAAAGUAUCAUUUAGUUCAAUAUCUUCUAAAGUAAUGCUGGGUUUAGGUGUGAAUAUAACAGACAGGAACAAGUGAAGGAGUGCUGUCUGGGAAGGGUGCUAGAAAGAAAUUAAGGAAAAGAAGUGCUGGUUAGUUAAGUUUCUUUAGUACCAGGACAGAUGAAGCAAGUGCUGGUGUGCUGUUGUAUAGAGAAGCUAAAGAUUUAAAGCUCUGGCAGGGAAAGUGGAGAAAAAGAAGAGUAAAAGGAUGCUAGUUUGAUCUGACAGUGCUUUUUAGUGGCAGAGGAAGAGACUGCAUUGAGACCAGUAAGGAAAUUGUUAAACUGAGACGAGUGUAUGCUAGUUUCAUUUGUGCUUUGUUGUGAAUAAAGAAGUAAUGGAGAGCAGUGAGGGAAGAAUCUAAACUGGAAAUGAGGGAUAGAAAGAUGAUGCUAGGAAGACUUAGUAAGAAAAACAAAGGAAAAGUUGAGUUUAGUAGAAAGAGGUAAUAGAAAACAGCAAGGAAAAGAUGAGUGAUGAUAGGAAGGUGUAAUAAAAGAAGUAAAAAGUGAUGCUAGGAUGUAAUAGAAGACAGGAAAAGAUAAAUAAUGUUAGGAAGAUGUAAUGAAAAAGUAAAAGAUAAGUGAUGCUAGAAAGAUGAAAUAGAAAACAGGAAAAGAUGGAAGUAUGCAAGUGAAGAAUGGUUAGAUGAAAGCUAGGUUGAAUUUGUUUUGUGCUUUGUGAUGGGAAAGAAGAAUAGGUAGUGGAAGUGAAGAAUAGAGACAGGCAAUGCUAGGAAGUUGUAAUAGAAAGCAGUAACAAAGAAACUGGAGUGUUGAAGCAAAUAAUGGUCAGACUGAUGGACAUUAGGAAGAGAAUAAUGAGUGUGGUAUGGAAAAAAAAUUACCAGAAAUGAAGAAUGGUUAGAUGGAUGCUAGUUUGACUUCACACUGGUUCAUCAUGGCAGAGUUUGUGCUUUGUAAUGGGAAAUAAAAGUGUAAUAAGUGGCAAGAAGGUUAGGUAGUGGAAGUGAAGAACAGACAGGCAAUGCUAGAAAUGUGCAAUGAAAGCAGUAAAGAAGAAACUGAACUGUCGAAGCAAAGAAUGGUCAGACAGAUGGAUGUUAGGAAGAGAAUGUAAUGAGUGUGAUAAGGGAAAAAGAUAACCAGAAAUUAAGAAAAGUUAGAUGGACGCUAGCUUGACUUCACACUGAUUCAUCAUGGCAGGGAAAGAUGUGAUAGAGAGCAGUGAGGGAAAAGUUGAAAUGAAGUGAAAAACAGUGAGAGUUAUAAUGAUGUUUGGUAUUAUUGAAGAGAACAUCAGAUUAGAAAGCAAGAGAUGCUUACCAGCAGAAAAAAUUGACACUCAUUAUUUAAAUAUUUCCAUUAAUCAUUUCAAAAUAUGACAUUUGUGGACCAGAAAUAUGAGUAUUGUCUGGAAUUAUGAAACCUUGAAAAUAUUUUGAGUGGUAGUUCAUGUGUGUGUGUGUGUGUGUGUGUGUGUGUGAAUUGUAGAUCUUUAAAAACAAAAUUGCAAUGGUAGGAUGUGUGUGUGUGUGUGUGUGUGUUCUCUUCAGUUGCAAAAAAGAAAAGCUGGGGAUGUGCUGAGUGUGGGGGUGAAAGGUGGACAGACAGGCAGGUAGGCAGGCAGUGCAGAUGGGUGAAGGGGUGUUAGGGACAGACUGGCUUGGCUGGAGUAAUGUACUUAAGAUAGGACAGUGUGUGUGUGUGUGUGUGUGUGCGCAUUUGUAUGUGUUGCUGGGACUAGUGGUGGGUGAGGGCAGCAGCAGCAGCGGCAGCAGUCAGGUGUCAUGGUCUCCGCAAAUUCAAGAUCAAACAUUAAGCAGUUCUGUAGUAGAUUUAUAUAUAUAUACAUAUAUACAUAUAAAUAUAUAUGAUAUAAAUAUAUACAUACAUUUAUAUAAUUAUGAGUCUUUUUUCUACUUUUUUCUCUUUUUCCACUUUUUGGUUGACGUGACAUGUUUCACUAGAAUUUAUUUUAUUAAACCUUUCAGGAAGAGUUUUAUUUCUACUUUUGUACGUAUUAGUCAUGUCUUGUUUCUUCACCGCAGUUAAGUUAGUUUGGGGUGGCUGAUGGGAGGUGGUAGUGGUGGUGGUGGUGAUGGUGGUGGUGGUGUUGGUGUUGGUGUUGAGGGCAUGAAGGGCCCAGCCUGAGGGCAUUGCGUGGCCUGAGCAGGGUCGGUGAGGCUGGGAGUGAAGACCCUUGACUGUUACACACAAAUCUCCUGUGAAGGGGUGUUGCCGUGUCCUUCAGUGCUUGUUGGCGUGAUCUGUGGCUCUCGGUAGUCUCAGAGGUCACCUAGCAGAGCAGCACCCACUGACCUAACAAGUGGUUUAUCUGUGAGGUCUUCCUGUGGCUGAGGUGUGGCACUGCAGCCCAGCACUCCACACUCACCAAUAAAAAAGGGUUUAUGUGUCUCCUAGAAGAGCUUGUCAAGGUGUUUCUGCUCCCCAAGUGUUGCAUUAAGGUGUGUAGCAUCAGCAGCACCCUGGCCAGCCUUCCUCAGUGCUGUGUCACCAAGAGGAGGCUGUCAGGAAGUGAAGGGUGUUUAUAUCUGAGUGUUGCAAGGACUGUGUGGUGUCAGCAGCCUGCCCAUCCCUCAUUGGCGUAGGGCAGCCUGUGGUAUGUGGCGUUUGGCGUGUGGUGUGCAUAGGGCAGUGAUGGUGUGAUGGUGUGGUAGUGUUAAGGGCUGCCGGAGGACUUGUGGUGGUGCACGGUGUGGUGUGGUGUGUGGCCAGGGUGAGGUCUGGCAUUACCAUGGCUGGCUGGUGUGUCUCGGUGAGUGGCGAGGACCACGGCACGGCUGAGUCUUGUGGAUUCAUUUUUUUGUGGAUUCAUUUUUUGUAACCCCUAAUGCUGUACUGUAAUAGUGUAGACCAAUGCAGGUUAAUAUUUUUAUAUAAAUUAUUUAUCACUCCAAUUAAUAAAAAUCACAUCCAGA